rnacentral:rRNA from 1 species
GCAGGCGCGAAACCUUUACACUGCACGACAGUGCGAUAGGGGGAUCCCAAGUGCACAGGCAUAGCGCCUGUGCUUUUCGGUACCCUAAGGCGGUACCAGAAUAAGGGCUGGGCAAGACCGGUGCCAGCCGCCGCGGUAAUACCGGCAGCCCAAGUGAUGGCCGAUCUUAUUGGGCCUAAAGCGUCCGUAGCUGGCCGUACAAGUCCAUCGGGAAAUCCACCUGCUCAACAGGUGGGCGCCCGGUAGAAACUGUGCGGCUUGGGACCGGAAGGCGCGACGGGUACGUCCGGGGUAGGAGUGAAAUCCCGUAAUCCUGGACGGACCGCCGAUGGCGAAAGCACGUCGCGAGAACGGAUCCGACAGUGAGGGACGAAAGCCAGGGUCUCGAACCGGAUUGGAUACCCGGGUAGUCCCGGCCGUAAACAAUGUCUGCUAGGUGUGGCUCCCACUACGAGUGGGUGCUGUGCCGUAGGGAAGCCGCUAAGCAGACCGCCUGGGAAGUACGUCCGCAAGGAUGAAACUUAAAGGAAUUGGCGGGGGAGCACUACAACCGGAGGAGCCUGCGGUUUAAUUGGAUUCAACGCCGG